UUUCCGUAGGUGAACCUGCGGAAGGAUCAUUCAUAAUAAAGUGUUUUAUGGCACUUUUUAAAAAUCCAUAUCCACCUUGUGUGCAAUGUUAGAUCUCGUCAAUCUUGGCGAGAUUUUUAUACAUCAACUCAUUCUUUAACUAAUUUGUCUGAAAAAUAUUAUGAAUACUUAAUUCAAAAUACAACUUUCAACAACGGAUCUCUUGGCUCUCGCAUGAUGAAGAACGCAGC
rnacentral:misc_RNA from 1 species